GAGUUUGACCUUUAAUCGCUAUUGUAUUGCACUAAUUGUGUAUUUUAUGCCUUGUAGGAGUGAUUUCGAGCUAUGUAGAUAUCAUGGAAUGAAUUCAAGUGAUUUGGAGCUUUGAAGUCUGAGUAAAAGCCCAAGGAAUCAAGCCGGGAUCGUGUUCGAGGAUCAACAGAAGAUAGUUAAGAACGAAAUAAAGAAUCUAGCGGGCAUACAGUGCAUUGUCUAGUAAAAUACAUAUAACUUUUCGCUCAGUACUCCGUUUGGGCUCUACAAUAUAUUGUUGGAAAGCUAUUCGAAAGGGCUACAAUUUCAUGUUUUGCAUUUUUGUAAAUUCUCAAUACCGCGCCGCAGAGUGCGCCGUAUCUGUGCAAAUUUCCAACAGUCUGCCAGGAAACAGCUCACUGAACUUGCCCACUGCCGCGCCGCACAGUGCGUCGAAGCCUGCGGCACGCCUGUACAAAUUUUACAGAGUGAUUGUCUUAUUUCUUGCGAGAGAAGGUAUUUUCGUUUGGGCCCAACCCUACUUGGUAUGUAUACAUGGAAAAACAUUAUUUUGGUGACUCUGGACACAUUUUAGACCUAGGAAGAGCACGGAGCCGUCGUGGAGACCGGAGAUUUGACCUAAGGAGGCAAGAAUACACUAGGAGCAAGGCAAAGAAUUCUUCUACGAGUUUUUUACUUCCUUCUUCCUAUUUUCAUUAUUGGUUAUGAAUUCUAGUAUUGUAGUUACGCAUACUAUUAUGAAUAGCUAAUUUGUUAUCUAGGGUUUUGAUGGAACCUAUUGGAGGAUGGUUUUCCUGUUAUGUUAAUAUAGUUUUGCUGUAGUAUUUUCUCUAUUUGUUCAACUACGUUAUUAUUGUGGUUGGUUGAAGAGUUCUCAAUCGACUGUGCCUAUUUAGUGUGUAUUACUCGGGAGAGAGUGCAUAUUUAGGUAGUUAUUGAACAACAUCACUCCUAACGUAUAUGAGGGAUCAAUAUGAAGGGUUUAAAAGUGGGAUAAGGGAUAACAAAGUCUUGGGUGAGAUCCGAGUGAGUCGUACUUAAUACAAGCUAGCGUAAUUCGGGAGAAUAUAUUUAGUAAAUUGUGGUAAUUACUCAGGAUAGAGUUACAACAGUCAGAGCGCUCAUGAUCGGUAGAGAAUACUUAGGCGAAUUUAUAGAAAACGUGGCGAAAAAGAUUCCGAUAAUAGGGAAAAUCAUAACUCUAGACCUUCUUAAUCUUGUCUCCAAUCCUUAUCCUUGCUAAUUCAUAGUUUUACUGCUUUCUAGUAUUUUUUAGUUAAGUAGAUAAAAAUAAAUAUUAUAAUCUUUAUAAUUAGAAAAUUGUUUGGACUUGUGUUUCUUAGCGAUGUUGAACAACUAUAUCUAAGUCUUAGUUCUCUGUGGGAUUCGACUCCGGACUUGUAAACCGAAUUAUAUUUGCAACGACCGCUUAGUCCUUUUUAUAAGGCAUAGUUGGGCGUGAUCAAAUUUUGGUGUCGUUGUCGGGGAACUAAUGGUAUAGCUGUAUGUGUACAUAUUUCUAGGUUGCAAGUUUGAACUUUUAUUUUUGUUUUUGUAUUUGAUUAUUUUUUUUAUUUUUAAUUUUUGACUUGAGAGACAUGGCAUCUUGGAAUUAUGAGAGUUCUGAUAUUGGUAACUCUACUUUUGAUCCUCCUUAUGCAUAUUGUGGAGGAAACCAGCCAUUGUAAAAUUGUCAAAAAUUUUCCGAGAGCGAGUUAUGUGCACCAACUCAAUCUUAUGUGUGGAAUGUGUGUGAUGGUCAAGAUGGUUACUUUCAUGGUUGUGAUUAUUUAUCUUAUCCUCCCCCAACCCCUUACUAUGAUGGUUCUACAUUUUCUGGUGAAGUUAAUAGGAUCAAAGAAACCUAGGAAGCUGAUUUGAAGAAAAUUGAAGAUAUGUUAUAACUAACCAUGGAUAUGUUAAAGUGCCAUGUGGAACAAUAUGAUGAGAAACCACGACAAAUACAAAGGCAAGAGGCAACUAUUCACAACUUGGAGACUCAAGCGAAUAAAUUAAUUGAACCUUGUAAAGCGCAACAAGUUGACAUUGUGGAUAGUAGCCAAUAUGAGCAUGAAUUGGCUGCAGAAAUUGCCAUUAUACUGGAAGAUUUAAAAAAAUACGGAGAUAAGCUAGAUGAGAAGGAUAGAGUAGAACACCAACAAUCAAUCGGACUGCAUUGUUCUACACUCCAAGCAUUUUUUCACAUUGUGUUUGGAUGAUGAUACAGAAAUAGAGCCAUCCGAUCCACUUGAAGAGUCAAGGAAUAAGGAACACGAUGCCUACAUUCUGGAAUUCUUCUUGCCAGAAAGCGGGAUUACACAUCUCAUCUAAAGGCCAAAAAGUGCAGAAUACUAUAUUGUUUUAUUGGACCAGUCAGAUUCGUUCCACCACCCCAGGAUCAUGAUUAUAGAGCAGAAUCAAAACUUGGGGUCCAAUUCAUAAGUUCAAAGUGGAGGCAAAAAAUGGUUCAUGUCGUGCUGCGACAUUGAAUCAAGCGCUUGUUGAGAGGCGACCCAACUUUACUACUUUCUUUUAUUUUUAUUUUUUUAAUUGUAUUAUUUUUGUAGUGUCGCUUUUGGAUUUUCUAGGAGCUUGGAAAGCAAAGCUAUUAGAAGGAUGCAACAACAAACCAGAUGGUUGGAACUAAGUGUGAGGUGCCAAGCUUGGGAGAAGCCUGAGUACCCCAUGAGCUACUAGUACUUAGUCUGUGGCCUAUCAAGGAGUUUCUUUUACCCUCUUAUUAGUAUGGUGUGCAUUGGGGACAAUGCACAAUUGUAAAUGUGGGGUGAGGAGAUUGUCUAGGUGACUUUCUAUGCUACUUUAGUUAUGUUAGUUUAAUUGAAUAAUAUUUUUUUUUUAAAAAUAUUGGACUUUUCCCAACGAUGGAUCUAUUAGACAAUUUUCUUUAGGGAUUUAAGUCUAAAAAAAAUAAAGGAAAAAAAAAGAUUUUCUUUGUAGGUAGUGUAGUAAUUCCCCAUUGAUUUUUCUUUGUGCGCGGUUCUUUUCCAAGGGUUUUGUUUGAAUCAGGUGUAACUAGUUUUAUUUUUAUUUGGAAUAGGAGCAAGUGUGAGAUGAAUUGAAUUGAAACAAUAUCUCUUGACUUUGUUAUGCCUUGAGAAUAGAGAGUACUUUGGUUGUGACGCCUAGGCUCAGUUUUUGACUCUUGUAGAAGUACCUUAAGUUGUAUGACCUUAACUUUAUUUAACUGCUUUGACUAGAGUGUCUUGAUGAGUCCAAUCCUGAGUGAGCUAUGUGCUAUGUGUGUGUGUAAGGUUUGUAUGUAUUCAGUGCAUUGCAUUUGAUGUCUAAAACUUGCCCCGUGUGUUUGCAAAGCACAAUAGUAGUUUUGUUCAGUCUUGGAAGUGAUAUAGGCAUUUGUUUGUUGAGCCAGACAUGUAUAUUUUACCCGCCUAAUUGUUAUGUAUCGUAGUUAACCCCUUUGAGCAUGUAAUCCUGUUUCUUUGGCAACCACAUUACAAGCCUUACCUUUUUUUUUUGAAUUAACCAUCUAUUUGAAUUUGUUCACCUCUCAUGAGCACUUGAAUUAUUAUGAACGUUGUAAAAGUUAAAGUGUGGGGUGGUUGGUUUGGCUUUUGAGUGGAACUAAUGAAAUAAGGAGAAAGGUGCAUUGUUUUGAAAAAGUAAGAGCCACUUGAAUUGGAAAAGAAAAAGAAAAGAAAGAAAAAAAUAGUUUUAUUUUUGUGAAAAAUAUUCCUUGAUAAGUGAUGGUUCUUGAUGUAAUUGUGCUUAAAGAAGUAUGGAGUUAAUAUAUAUUGAUGUGAAGGUGGAGUUAUGGUUUGACAUAAGUGUGGGGUUUUAAAUGUUAAAGUAUAUGUAUUAAAGUACUUAGGGAGGCGUAGUCACUCUUAUAUCUAAAUAUAUCCUACCCGUCUCACAGCCUACAUUACAACCAAAUAAAGUCCUACUUGAUCCUAGACUGAAUGUGCUCGAUUAGUAGAGUAGUACACUACGGGCAAGCCUAUGGUGCAUCUUUUAUGGCAUAUAAAUGUUAUUUCUGAGAGUGGGUGAAUUCUUUAUAUCUUGAGUUCCUAAUUGUUCUUAAAUUUUAUUGUGUAGAACUACUCUCUUUUAUUAUGUGAGGGCACUUGAUUCAUGAAGGAAAGGUAAUUUCAGUGACCUCUAUGUUAGAGUAAGUGGGUGAGUUGUGAAUAAUGCGUGGUACUUGUGAGUCAAAUCUUGAGGUGAAGAUGUUACGCUUUUGUGCUUAGUCUAUUUUAAAUAUUCUUGGUAUAAUGAGUUAGGAGAGUUGUUUAAAAAGGUCGUGCCUAUAUAAAGUAUAGUUUGAUUACUCGAGGACGAGCAAUGGUUUAAGUGUGGGGUAUUGAUGACAGCCUAUAAUUGCGUAUUUUAGUACUUAUUAGACUCUAAUGUACUGCACUUUAAUUGAGUUUGAGCUUUAAUUGCUACUGUUUUGCAAUAAUUGUGUAUUUUAUGCCUUGUAAGAGUGAUUCCGAGCUAUGUAGAUAUCAUGGAAUGAAUUCAAGUGAUUUGAAGCUUUAAGGUCUGAGUAAAAGCCCAAGGAAUAAAGCCGGGAUCGUGUUCGAGGAUCAACGGAUGAUAGUUAAGAAUGAAACGAAGAAUUGAGCGGGCAUACAGUGCAUUGUCUAGUAAAAUACACAUAACUUCUCGCUCAGAACUCCGUUUGGGCUCCACAAUAUAUUAUUGGAAAGCUAUUUGAAAGGGCUACAACUUUCAUGUUUUGCAUUUUUGCGAAUUCCCACUGCUGCACCGCACAGUGCGCCGCAUCUGUGCAAUUUUCCAACAGCCUGUCAGGAAACAACUCUCUGCACUUCCCCACCUGUGCGGCGCAGCCUGCGGUGCGCCUGUACAAAUUUUACAGAGUGAUUGUCCUAUUUCACACGAGAGAAGGUAUUUUCGUUUGGGCCCAACCCUACUUGGUAUAUAUACAUGGAAAAACUUUAUUUUGGUGACUCUGGAUACACUUUAGACCUAGGAAGAGCACGGAGCCGUCGUGGAGACCGGAG
rnacentral:lncRNA from 1 species